rnacentral:rRNA from 1 species
UUCCAGACUCCUACGGGAGGCAGCAGUGGGGGAUAUUGCACAAUGGGGGGAACCCUGAUGCAGCGACGCCGCGUGGGUGAAGAAGCGCCUCGGCGCGUAAAGCCCUGUCAGCAGGGAAGAAAAUGACGGUACCUGAAGAAGAAGCCCCGGCUAACUACGUGCCAGCAGCCGCGGUAAUACGUAGGUGGCAAGCGUUAUCCGGAUUUACUGGGUGUAAAGGGCGAGUAGGCGGGAUUGCAAGUCAGAUGUGAAAACUAUGGGCUCAACCGAUGGAGUGCAUUUGAAACUGCAGUUCUUGAGUGAUGGAGAGGCAGGCGGAAUUCCCGGUGUAGCGGUGGAAUGCGUAGAUAUCGGGAGGAACACCAGUGGCGAAGGCGGCCUGCUGGACAUUAACUGACGCUGAGGCGCGAAAGCGUGGGGAGCAAACAGGAUUAGAUACCCGUGUACA